rnacentral:lncRNA from 1 species
UCGCUCCGCUCCGCCCCACUCGUCACAAUCCUCUUUAUGGCAUUACAUACAGUCAGGAAGAAUACAUGCGCAUCUACAGGUUUUACAGGGCACUGUUGGGAGUUCAGAUAUUGCGGUCGUUCCUAACCGCAUUUUGAUAAGAUUGUGGUUGUUCUUAACCACAUGUAGGAUUUUAUGUGACUUGUUCAUUCAACUUCAUUUUAUUGAUUUAUUGAAAGGGUUUUGAAGUUAGUCAAGUGUCAAUGAAAACAGUCAUAAUACUAAUGAAACAUUGCACAAAUCCUGUCUCCUGGGCCUUGGCGUGAAUACUGUGUCAACGAUAUUAUGGGCCUUCCACGACAACAUCUCAGCAACAGCUGUGGUGUCUUUGUCCUGAUGUAUUCACUGUACUUUGUGACAUCAGGGGCCUUUGAUUUUACAGAGGUAAGUGAAAUCUGCAAUGGUAACCCUCAUAUUUCUUAAAAAGACUAUAUCUUUUUAUCUCCG